rnacentral:rRNA from 1 species
CCUACGGGCGGCAGCAGUGGGGAAUAUUGCACAAUGGGGGAAACCCUGAUGCAGCGACGCCGCGUGAGUGAAGAAGUAUUUCGGUACGUAAAGCUCUAUCAGCAGGGAAGAAAAUGACGGUACCUGACUAAGAAGCCCCGGCUAACUACGUGCCAGCAGCCGCGGUAAUACGUAGGGGGCAAGCGUUAGCCGGAUUUACUGGGUGUAAAGGGAGCGUAGACGGCAGCGCAAGUCUGGAGUGAAAUCCCAUGGCUUAACCAUGGAACUGCUUUGGAAACUGUGCAGCUAGAGUGCAGGAGAGGUAAGCGGAAUUCCUAGUGUAGCGGUGAAAUGCGUAGAUAUUAGGAGGAACACCAGUGGCGAAGGCGGCUUACUGGACUGUAACUGACGUUGAGGCUCGAAAGCGUGGGGAGCAAACAGGAUUAGAUACCCGGGUAGUC